rnacentral:rRNA from 1 species
CAGCCGCCGCGGUAAUACGUAGGUGGCAAGCGUUGUCCGGAAUUAUUGGGCGUAAAGGGCUCGCAGGCGGUUUCUUAAGUCUGUUGUGAAAGCCCCCGGCUCAACCGGGGAGGGUCAUUGGAAACUGGGAAACUUGAGUGCAGAAGAGGAGAGUGGAAUUCCACGUGUAGCGGUGAAAUGCGUUGAGAUGUGGAGGAACACCAGUGGCGAAGGCGACUCUCUGGUCUGUAACUGACGCUGAGGAGCGAAAGCGUGGGGAGCGAACAGGAUUAGAUACCCGAGUAGUCCCUGUCUCUUAUAC